rnacentral:lncRNA from 1 species
GUUUAAACUGCAAAGAGGAAUAAAUAAAAAUGGAUCAUUCUUCGUGUUCUGUAUAUUCCCGAUACAGUUUAUAUUCACAAUGUACUAUAUUACUUGUAAUUUAACCUCCUAACACUUAUACAGCAACUAAUAUUCACACUGAGUUGUGUCAAAACUAUUCCCUAACUAACAGCUCGAGCGUGGAUUUAUAUACCCUCAAAGUAAAAUUAGAUCGAUAUAACUGUACUAUAUCAUAUAUGUCUCUCUUCAAAUGCGCAAUCUUUGGCACCAGAAAACGUAAUACUAUGAUAAUGCCAACAUUAUAAUACAGAAC